GAUCAUGGCUCAGGACGAACGCUGGCGGCGUGCGUAACACAUGCAAGUCGAACGAGAGAGUGAGAGAAGCUUGCUUUUCUUAUGAUCGAGUGGCAAACGGGUGAGUAACGCGUAAACAACCUGCCCCGCAGAUGGGGACAACAGCUGGAAACGGCUGCUAAUACCGAAUACGGUCCUCUUAGCGCAUGGUAAGAGGAAGAAAGGGUGGCCUCUGGAACAAGCUACCGCUGCGGGAGGGGUUUGCG
rnacentral:rRNA from 1 species